UUUCGUCUGCACACUGAGAGGAUGAGAAUCUCCGAAGGAGGUUUGAGCCGAGCGCAGUGAGACCACGUUGCUUUAGCAACGGCCCGCAGGGCAAGCAUCGAAGAUGCGCAUAAUCCUCUCAUGCCGACCA
rnacentral:sRNA from 11 species